CGGUUGAUCCCGCCGGAGGCCAUUGCUAUUGGGAUUCGACUUAGCCAUGCUAGUCGCACGAGUUUAGACUCGUGGCGAAUAGCUCAGUAACACGUGGCCAAACUACCCUUCGGAACACAAUACCCUCGGGAAACUGAGGUUAAUAGUGUAUACCACAGUCCACCUGGAAUGAGGACUGUGCCAAACGCUCCGGCGCCGAAGGAUGUGGCUGCGGCCGAUUAGGUAGACGGUGGGGUAACGGCCCACCGUGCCAAUAAUCGGUACGGGUCAUGAGAGUGAGAACCCGGAGACGGAAUCUGAGACAAGAUUCCGGGCCCUACGGGGCGCAGCAGGCGCGAAACCUUUACACUGCACGACAGUGCGAUAAGGGAAUCCCAAGUGCGAAGGCAUAGAGCCUGCGCUUUUGUACACCUUAGGGAGGUGCACGAAUAAGGGCUGGGCAAGACCGGUGCCAGCCGCCGCGGUAAUACCGGCAGCCCGAGUGAUGGCCGAUCUUAUUGGGCCUAAAGCGUCCGUAGCUGGCCGCACAAGUCUAUCGGAAAAUCCACCCGCUCAACGGGUGGGCGUCCGGUGGAAACUGUGCGGCUUGGGACCGGAAGGCGCGACGGGUACGUCCGGGGUAGGAGUGAAAUCCUGUAAUCCUGGACGGACCGCCGAUGGCGAAAGCACGUCGCGAAGACGGAUCCGACAGUGAGGGACGAAAGCUAGGGUCUCGAACCGGAUUAGAUACCCGGGUAGUCCUAGCCGUAAA
rnacentral:rRNA from 1 species